rnacentral:rRNA from 1 species
UGGGGAAUAUUGCACAAUGGGCGAAAGCCUGAUGCAGCAACGCCGCGUGAGUGAUGAAGGCCUUCGGGUUGUAAAGCUCUGUCUUUUGGGACGAUAAUGACGGUACCAAAGGAGGAAGCCACGGCUAACUACGUGCCAGCAGCCGCGGUAAUACGUAGGUGGCAAGCGUUGUCCGGAUUUACUGGGCGUAAAGGAUGCGUAGGCGGAUUUUUAAGUGAGAUGUGAAAACCCUAAGCUUAACUUGGGGACUGCAUUUCAUACUGGAAAUCUAGAGUGCGGGAGAGGAGAAUGGAAUUCCUAGUGUAGCGGUGAAAAUGCGUAGAGAUUAGGAAGAACACCAGUGGCGAAGGCGAUUCUCUGGACCGUAACUGACACUGAGGCAUGAAAGCGUGGGUAGCAAACAGGAUUAGAUACCCUGGUAGUCCACGCCGUAAACGAUGAGUACUAGGUGUAGGAGGUAUCGACCCCUUCUGUGCCGCAGUUAACACAAUAAGUACUCCGCCUGGGAAGUACGAUCGCAAGAUUAAAAACUCAAAGGAAUUGACGGGGGUCAUAGCUGUUUUUCCU